CAAGAGGCUACCUUAAAAGCCCUUCUCUGAUAAUAAGCUUAAUGUCUACCUUAUAUGCCGUCCUAGUGUCUUCAUCCAGUAGCUGAUGGAAGCAGAUGCAGACUAAAUUCCCUUCCCCUAUAAUGAGACUGAUGAGUCCUUUUUAAGCCAUCUAGAGCCCUCAUCCAGUGGCUGACAGAAGCAGAGGCAGACAUCCACAGAUAUACACUGAACUGAACUCUGGAACCUAGUUGCAGAGAGGGAGGAAUGAAGAUCAAAGGGAUGGAAAAGUCACAACUGCAGCAGAGGCCAGAGCCAGAAGUUGAAAGUUGAAGAGAAAGCAUUAAGAGAACCAGAAGUUCUACAAACUUUUAAAGCCUGCUGAAGUGACAUACUUCCUUCUCCAUCAAGGCUCCACUUCCUAAAGGUUCCCUAACCUGUCUGAACAGUGCCACCAAUUGGGAACCACAUAUUUAAACAAAGCAACUGGAAGUGUAGUGAGGCUAUAAGUUCUCACAGCUUCCCCUUCCACCCAGUGAUGUCUUUCCUUCAGCAAGACAGCAC
rnacentral:lncRNA from 1 species